AGUGAACGCUGGCGGUAGGCCUAACACAUGCAAGUCGAACGGCAGCACAGGAGAGCUUGCUCUCCGGGUGGCGAGUGGCGGACGGGUGAGGAAUACAUCGGAAUCUACUUUUUCGUGGGGGAUAACGUAGGGAAACUUACGCUAAUACCGCAUACGACCUACGGGUGAAAGCAGGGGACCUUCGGGCCUUGCGCGAUUGAAUGAGCCGAUGUCGGAUUAGCUAGUUGGCGGGGUAAAGGCCCACCAAGGCGACGAUCCGUAGCUGGUCUGAGAGGAGGAUCAGCCACACUGGAACUGAGACACGGUCCAGACUCCUACGGGAGGCAGCAGUGGGGAAUAUUGGACAAUGGGCGCAAGCCUGAUCCAGCCAUACCGCGUGGGUGAAGAAGGCCUUCGGGUUGUAAAGCCCUUUUGUUGGGGAAGAAAUCCAGCCGGCUAAUACCUGGUUGGGAUGACGGUACCCAAAGAAUAAGCACCGGCUAACUUCGUGCCAGCCGCCGCCGUAA
rnacentral:rRNA from 1 species